UGUGUUUGUUUUGUUUUAGAGGAUGAGCAGAAAAUGACCGAACAGUAAGUUUUGACAACUUACAACUUUAAUAAGCCAGUUGUCACAAACUACAAACAACUCUGAACUCUUUUCUAGAAAGACUAAACCACAUGUUGGGGUUGAAACUAGAAUAUGAUGCUUGCAUCACAAAAUAAAAUCACUGAAUAGUUAUUGUUGCCUGGAGUUCAACACAAACUGUAAAACAGAUUGAGUGCAAGAAAGUGCAAUGCUCAAAUAUACUUUUACAAAGCAAAGUGAGUAAAACAAUAUUUAUACAAAUAUCCCCAGCAUUUACAAGUCCAUAUAAGUACAACCCCCGGUUCUCAAUAAAAGCAGAGGUGGGUGCAAAUGAACAAUUUUCAUCUUCUAGAUCAAGGUUUUUACAGAGAACAUCUUGAAAAAUAUGAAGAACAAAAUACAGAUUUCCAUUUAUUAAUGACACUUUUGCAUUCAACUUCUUUGUAGGAACUCGAACCACAAACACGACCUACAUUUACUCAAACGCAAACCAAA